GCGGUUUUCGCCGUCCGCCGAGCCGGGCCGAGCCCGCCCGAACGCCGUGGAGCCCAGCUGGACCGCGUGCCCGAGUCGCCGCCGCCGUCGCCCCGCGAGCGAGCGGCCCCGCGGAGGAGGCGGCGCCCCAGGGGGAGGAGGCGCCCGCUCGCCGCAGACCGCCCGCGGCAGAGGCCACCGGGUCGCGCCGCGGCGGGAGCGGCCGGCAGAGGCUGCGUGGCCGAGGGGGAGGGUCGGGGGAGGGAACGUCGCCCCGACCCGCCUCCCCCACCGGCCGCCCGCAGGCUCUGAGCCUCAGUCGGCGCCCAGCAUCUCGCUGCCCUGGACCCUGCGGCGGGCGUGCACCGGGCUCCACUCAGGCUCAGCACUGUAGGUGGACAUCUCUACUGCCCAGGAAUCAUUGAGUGUGUGGACAGGACAGCCUCCUCAGAAGACCGGCUAUACCAGAGUCCCGCCUCGGCAUGGGCCUUGCCAUUGAGUCAACCCCGCUUUUGGCUCCGCUGUCUGUGCUGGUCUGAGGGUGCUGCCCAUCAUGGGGGCAGCCAUAUCCCAGGGCGCCCUCAUCGCCAUCGUCUGCAACGGCCUGGUAGGCUUCUUGCUACUGCUCCUCUGGGUCAUUCUCUGCUGGGCCUGCCACUCCCGCUCUGCUGACAUCGACUCGCUCUCUGAAUCCAGUCCCAACUCCAGCCCUGGUCCCUGCCCCGAGAAGGCACCCCCACCCCAGAAACCCAGCCAUGAAGGCAGCUACCUACUGCAGCCCUGAAGGCCCCUGGCCUAGCCUGGAGUCUGGGACCUAAGUCCACCUCAUCCAGAGCCUGGAAUCAGGAUCCCAGGAUCCAGCCAGCCUGGGGUCCAGAACUCAGAGUCCAGCCUGUCCGGAGCUGGACCUCGCAGCCCAGAGUCUAGCCAGCCUGGCUCUAAGAGGGGCUCUGGUGGCCGUGGGUAAACAGGCCCAGGUUGGGGGUUCAUGAGUUGGUGCUAGGGCCUGGGCCAUCUGGACUCUGUUCCAUCUCAAGGGCCAGGGGCUGGGUCCACUCUCUCCUUAGGCCUAGUGCCUCUAGGCCCUCUCAGUUGGGAAAGCAAACUGGAAUCCUUGGCAAUAAUGGGAGGGCGUCCAGGCUGGGCCCCUCCUCUGGUCCUCCCACUGUUUGCUGGAUAAUAAAUGGAACUAUGGUUC